GAGGAUAUAGCUCAGUUGGUAGAGUGCCUGCUUCACAUGCACGAGGCCCUGGGUUCAAUCCCCAGCACCACCA
rnacentral:tRNA from 1 species